UACGGAGGGGGCUAGCGUUGUUCGGAAUUACUGGGCGUAAAGGGCGCGUAGGCGGCGAUUCAAGUCAGGCGUGAAAGGCCUGGGCUCAACCCGGGAACUGCGUUUGAUACUGGAUUGCUGGAGUCCGGGAGAGGAUGGCGGAAUUCCCAGUGUAGAGGUGAAAUUCGUAGAUAUCAGGAGGAACACCAAUGGCGAAGGCAGCUCGCUGGAACGGUACUGACGCUGAGGCGCGAAAGCGUGGGGAGCAAACAGG
rnacentral:rRNA from 1 species